GACAUAGGUGGCAAGCGUUAUUCGGAAUUACUAGGCGUAAAGCGAGUGUAGGCGGGCGCUUAAGUCCGACGUUAAAUCUCCAGGCUUAACUUGGAGCUGUCGUUGGAUACUGGGCGUCUCGAGAGGGGUAGGGCGAGUGGAAUUCCGGUCGUAGCGGUGAAUAGCGUAGAUAUCGGGUAGGAACGACCUACUGGCGAAAGCAGCUGCCUGGGCCGUUUUCUGUACGCUAAGACUCGAAAGCUGGGGGUAGCGAAACAGGAUUAGAUACCCGACGUAGU
rnacentral:rRNA from 1 species